UACGAAGGGGGCUAGCGUUGUUCGGAGUUACUGGGCGUAAAGGGCGCGUAGGCGGCGCACCAAGUCAGGCGUGAAAGCCCUGGGCUCAACCCGGGAAUUGCGCUUGAGACUGGUGUGCUUGAGUACGGGAGAGGAUAGUGGAAUUCCCAGUGUAGAGGUGAAAUUCGUAGAGAUGUGGAGGAACACCAGUGGCAGAAGGCGACUCUUUGGCCUGUAACUGACGCUGAGGCGCGAAAGCGUGGGGAGCAAACAGG
rnacentral:rRNA from 1 species